rnacentral:rRNA from 1 species
AGUGAACGCUGGCGGUAGGCCUAACACAUGCCAGUCGAACGGCAGCACAGUAAGAGCUUGCUCUUACGGGUGGCGAGUGGCGGACGGGUGAGGAAUACAUCGGAAUCUACUUUUUCGUGGGGGAUAACGUAGGGAAACUUACGCUAAUACCGCAUACGACCUACGGGUGAAAGCAGGGGAUCUUCGGACCUUGCGCGAUUGAAUGAGCCGAUGUCGGAUUAGCUAGUUGGCGGGGUAAAGGCCCACCAAGGCGACGAUCCGUAGCUGGUCUGAGAGGAUGAUCAGCCACACUGGAACUGAGACACGGUCCAGACUCCUACGGGAGGCAGCAGUGGGGAAUAUUGGACAAUGGGCGCAAGCCUGAUCCAGCCAUACCGCGUGGGUGAAGAAGGCCUUCGGGUUGUAAAGCCCUUUUGUUGGGAAAGAAAAGCAGCAGAUUAAUACCCCGCUGUUCUGACGGUACCCAAAGAAUAAGCACCGGCUAACUUCGUG